UAUUGGAAUGUAUAUUUGACCUGGCUGGAAUAUAGCAUAAUAAUUUGUACUCUGAAUAAGCAUUUUCUGUGCAUUAUAUGAGUUUACUAAAAAUUAAUAUUACCACUGAGUGGAGAAAAUUAUUACAUGUAUAGGUGCCCUUGAAAGAAUACUGUAAAUGUCGGCCUCUGUUUAAACAAAGACAACUAUCAAAGUUGAAAUGAAUCUUGGAUGGGUCAGGUUAUAUUAUGUUCAAAUUAUUAUUUAUCUAAGACAAUAAUGCCAUUACUGUGGAAGAAAAGAAAACGGAAUACAUUAGACAUUGAGAUAAAGAACAGUAUUCAAGCUCAACAAAAAGAGCUCAAAAGUCGAUCCAGAUAAACAAUACAAAUCAAGGGCAGAUCAAGAGCCAACAUGGACCUCCAAAACACCAGAGGUGGGAUCAGGUGUCAUGGAGGAGUGAGCAUCCCCUGUCGAAGAAGAUAAAGCCAUACCCAGUUUUUGCCAAUCCUGGAGGGACCCCAAGUCCAGGUGAUGUCCAGAAAGUACUACAUUCCGGAGGACAGAAGCCAUUUAAACCAAUCAUGUCCAAAUACAUCUGUCUGAUGAUCAGUGCCAAAGGUGAACAUGAAGCAGAUUCCUGGAUGGUGUUUAGGCUGUUUGUCAACAUGUAAAACCCACGGGUAUUUUGGGG